CGUCACGCGUCCUUCUUCUCCAGGCUGCCCUCCGUCACGCAUCCUUCUUCUCCAGGCUGCCCUCCAUCACGCGUCCUUCUUCUCCAGGCUGCCCUCCAUCACGCGCCCUUUUCCAGGCUGCCCUCCGUCACGCUCCUUCUCCAGGCUGCCCUCCAUCACGCGUCCUUCUUCUCCAGGCUGCCCUCCAUCACGCAUCCUUCUUCUCCAGGCUGCCCUCCAUCACGCGUCGUUCUUCUCCAGGCUGCCCUCCAUCUUGCACCCUUCUUCUCCAGGCUGCCCUCCAUCACGCGUCCUUCUUCUCCGGGCUGCCCUCCGUCACGCGUCCUUCUCCAGGCUGCCCUCCAUCACGCGUCCCUCUUCUCCAGGCUGCCCUCCAUCACGCGUCCUUCUUCUCCAGGCUGCCCUCCAUCACGCGUCCUUCUUCUCCAGGCUGCCCUCCAUCACGCGUCCUUCUUCUCCGGGCUGCCCUCCAUCACGCGUCCUUCUUCUCCAGGCUGCCCUCCGUCGCGCGUCC
rnacentral:lncRNA from 1 species